rnacentral:snoRNA from 1 species
AGGUUGAUCUUAAAUUUGACUCGUGUGCAAUGGCUGCAAAUAGCAGCCUGCUUGGUAGCGUUUGCAGCCUGUUGCUUCUAUGGGUUGCUCUAAUGAACCCUGGAGUCAGCC